rnacentral:rRNA from 1 species
UCCGAACACGGCCGUGAAACGCCCCUGCGCCCAUGGUACUUCGUCUUAAGACGCGGGAGAGUAGGUCGCUGCCAGGU